rnacentral:miRNA from 1 species
AUAUAAAUCACUUGCAGGAACUUGUGAAAAUGCAGAUUCUGCUCUAUUAUGUGGGACCUGAUGGUAUGCAUUUUUAACAAGUUUCCAGGUGAUGCUAAU